GUUUAUUACAAAAUUAAAGAGAAAUUAGUGAUGUUACGAGAGCUGUGUUGUGGAAGUCUAUGAAUAUAAGUAGAUUGGAUAAAUAACAGUUUAGAAAGGACUCCAGGAGCAAACAAUUUUGUUCGUUUGCCCUUAGUUGGAUCAUGUGGCUGCGGGAAGUCUGCCUUUGUCAACGCUGUGAGAGGUAUUGAUAAUGAAGAUGACUAUGCAGCCACAGUUGAUGUUGUGGAAUCAGAAUUGGUAAAAUUUUACCAUUUUCUAAGUUUUAUUGCACACAGAGUAACACAACUUGACCUGGGAGCUGCAUUAUUAGAGAAAGUAUAAAAGCUGCUGGCAAAUAUUUUUUCUCAUUCGUACUAAAUUUGAAAUCGAAUCAAUGCGGGUAAAGAGAAAAAGUGAUUUUAGAGAAGAAGAGUUUUUGUGAAAGAUUCAGAAUUAUGUCCUGGAACAAAAGGCAAUCUCGGUAUCAGUAACUACGAACCAUACGGAUGGGAUUUUUUCCUUUUCCCAUUAGAGACAUCACAACAGAUUUAACGGAGCUAUAUCUUGGUGAAAGAAAGAAACGUUGCAAAUAUUGAGGAAUUUGACAAGAAUAAUCUUUACGAUUAAAAGAUACGAAAAUGGGUUUUGGUGUAGCAGGAGAUAGUGGUGCUGGAAAAUCUGCAUUUAUCAACGCAAUAAGAGAGUCUGUUGACUUGCAAAGUAUAUGGGCAGCAAAUCAACUAUUUAAAGCCAUUUCAUAUGUCAGAAGAUUCGACAAAGUGCAGUGUCUCGUUAGUGGUUUUAUCGCUCUUUUUACAUGAUCUAAGGAGGUCUGUAUGAAGCCGUGUUAGCCGGCUAUGAAGAGUCCAUCUCAACUCUUCCAAACAAAAAAUAGUGCUCCUUUGUGGAACUAAGUAACGUAGCAUAUUUAUCAUUGUUUAUUGUUAUUUUACGUAUUAGUUAAAA